rnacentral:rRNA from 1 species
GACGAACGCUGGCGGCGUGCCUAACACAUGCAAGUCGAGCGGAGCAGUAGCAAUACUGCUUAGCGGCGGACGGGUGAGUAACGCGUGGGCAACCUGCCUUUCACAGGGGGAUAACACAGGGAAACUUGUGCUAAUACCGCAUGAAAUCCUGAUAGGACAUCCUAAUAGGAUCAAAGGAGCAAUCCGGUGAAAGAUGGGCCCGCGUCCGAUUAGCUAGUUGGUGGUGUAACGGACCACCAAGGCGACGAUCGGUAGCCGAACUGAGAGGUUGAUCGGCCACAUUGGGACUGAGACACGGCCCAGACUCCUACGGGAGGCAGCAGUGGGGAAUAUUGCACAAUGGGGGAAACCCUGAUGCAGCAACGCCGCGUGAAGGAUGAAGGUUUUCGGAUUGUAAACUUCUUUAGUCGGGGACGAAGAAAUGACGGUACCCGAAGAAUAAGCCACGGCUAACUACGUGCCAGCAGCCGCGGUAA